rnacentral:rRNA from 1 species
CAUAUUCCAGUACUUUUUAUAACUGCGAUGCGGUGACGGAGUAGUGACACUGACGCGAACUGACGGAAUAGUUCGUUAAAGGCCGUAGGUAUAGGAGAGGUAGUUAAGUACGCCACUCUUGCUGAAAGCUGAUAGUACUUGAAACCUUCGGGGGACGAGAUAGUUCAGGUAAUCAGACUUCCAAGAAAACCCGCUAAGCUUCAGGUUAUAAAAACCCGUACCGUAAACCGACACAGGUAGUCGAGGAGAGAAUCCUAAGGUGCUCGAGUGAAUCAUGGCUAAGGAACUCGGCAAAAUGGCCCUGUAACUUCGGGAGAAGGGGCGCUGGUAGUAAUGCCAGCCGCAGUGAAAAGGCCCAGGCGACUGUUUAACAAAAACACAUGGCUAUGCAAAAUCGAAAGAUGACGUAUAUGGCCUGACACCUGCCCGGUGCCGGAAGGUUAAGAGGGGAUGUUAGGGUUAAACCGACGCAUUGAAUCGAAGCCCCGGUAAACGGCGGCCGUAACGAUAACGGUCCUAAGGUAGCGAAAUUCCUUGUCGGGUAAGUUCCGACCUGCACGAAUGGUGUAACGAUCUGGGCGCUGUCUCAGCCAUGAGCUCGGUGAAAUUGUGGUAUCGGUGAAGACGCCGGUUACCCGCAACGGGACGGAAAGACCCCAUGCACCUUCACUACAACUUAACAUUGAUAUCGGAUACAGGAUGUGUAGGAUAGGUGGGAGACUGUGAUCCGGCUUCGCCAGGAGUCGGUUAGUCAACGUUGAAAUACCACCCUUUCUGUAUUUGGUGUCUAACCCUGCAAAGCGGGGGACAUUGUUUGGCGGGUAGUUUGACUGGGGUGGUCGCCUCCAAAAAGGUAACGGAGGCUUUCAAAGGUAAGCUCAGUACGCUUGGUAACCGUACGCGGAGUGCAAUAGCAUAAGCUUGCUUGACUGUGAGGCAGACAAGCCGAGCAGGGUCGAAAGACGGAUAUAGUGAUCCGGUGGUUCUGCAUGGAAGGGCCAUCGCUCAAAGGAUAAAAGGUACGCUGGGAUAACAGGCUGAUCUCCCCCAAGAGCUCAUAUCGACGGGGAGGUUUGGCACCUCGAUGUCGGCUCGUCACAUCCUGGGGCUGGAGAAGGUCCCAAGGGUUGAGCUGUUCGCUCAUUAAAGUGGCACGCGAGCUGGGUUCAGAACGUCGCGAGACAGUUCGGUCCCUAUCUGUUGUGGGCGUUGGAAGUUUGAGUGGGGCUGACCUUAGUACGAGAGGACCGGGUUGGACUAACCUCUGGUGAAUCUGUUAUGGCGCCAGCUGUAUUGCAGAGUAGCUACGUUGGGAAUAGAUAAGCGCUGAAA